rnacentral:rRNA from 1 species
UACGAAGGGGGCUAGCGUUGCUCGGAAUUACUGGGCGUAAAGCGCACGUAGGCGGCUCUUUAAGUCGGGGGUGAAAUCCUGGAGCUCAACUCCAGAACUGCCUUCGAUACUGGAGAGCUCGAGUCCGGGAGAGGUGAGUGGAACUGCGAGUGUAGAGGUGAAAUUCGUAGAUAUUCGCAAGAACACCAGUGGCGAAGGCGGCUCACUGGCCCGAUACUGACGCUGAGGCACGAAAGCGUGGGGAGCAAACAGG